rnacentral:rRNA from 1 species
UGCAUGUCUGAGUAUAAGCUUUCAAAUGGCGAGACUGCGAAUGGCUCAUUAAAACAGUUAUAGUUUAUUUGAUGUUCGUUGUCCUACAUGGAUAACCGUAGUAAUUCUAGAGCUAAUACAUGCGUUAAGACCCGACUUUCGCGGAAGGGUUGUGUUUAUUAGAUACAGAGCCAACCUGGUCCUCGACCAGAGUUUUUGGUGAUUCAUGAUAACCGAGCGAAUCGUAUGGCAUUGCCGACGAUGUAUCAUUCAAGUUUCUGACCUAUCAGCUUUCGAUGGUAGGGUAUUGGCCUACCAUGGCAUUGACGGGUAACGGAGAAUUAGGGUUCGAUUCCGGAGAGGGAGCCUGAGAAACGGCUACCACAUCUAAGGAAGGCAGCAGGCGCGCAAAUUACCCAAUCCUGAUACAGGGAGGUAGUGACAAGAAAUAACAAUACGAGGCAACUCUGUCUUGUAAUUGGAAUGAGUAAGGUUUAAAUCCUUUUACGAACUCAAUUGGAGGGCAAGUCUGGUGCCAGCAGCCGCGGUAAUUCCAGCUCCAAUAGCGUAUAUUAAAGUUGUUGCGGUUAAAAAGCUCGUAGUUGGAUUUCAGCCGAGGACGACCGGUCCUGCUUCUGUAGGAACCUGGUUUGGCCGAGGCAUUUCUUGGUGCACGUGUUGGCGCUUGAUCGCGCUACACGGACUCCAGGGCUUUUACUUUGAGGAAAUUAGAGUGUUUCAAGCAGGCAUCUGCCUUGAAUACAUUAGCAUGGAAUAAUAGGAUAGGACUGCGGUCCUAUUUUGUUGGUUUCUGGGACUGUAGUAAUGAUUAAUAGGGAUAGUCGGGGGCAUUCGUACUUAACAGUCAGAGGUGGAAUUCUUGGAUUUGUUAAAGACGAACUACUGCGAAAGCAUUUGCCAAGGAUGUUUUCAUUGAUCAAGAACGAAAGUUAGGGGAUCGAAGACGAUUAGAUACCGUCCUAGUC